rnacentral:sRNA from 1 species
UCGCAACAGAGUGAGGGGGUGUAAAAAGGGGUCGCCGAGCAUAAAAGGUUGAGAACCGCUGUUUUACAGACUUCUGUAUUUCUGCGCAUACACCUAUUAGGUGUGGCGCUAACACUAGCAUGAGUAAGCCUUAUCCACACCGCUGGCCACACGACACUCUCGUUAACCAUCGGCCAGAUGAGCUUUACAUCAUCCACCCACGUAGCGUGCGAGGUCUGAAAGGAUUACCUUUAAGUUACCUAUACCUAUGAUAAUGAGAACAAGUCAUUGUCUUUAGAUGGCAUGUUCUCUCCCUGAAUCUCCAGCUACUCCCCCUGAAGACGUAUUUCGUAAUCAAUAGUGUACCACAUGUUUCAGUUUACACCGCCUUGAGCAGCCCGCCCCUGGCCCACACCUGUGUUUGAUUAGCCACUUGGUAAACCGGUCCAGCAUUUCUAGAAAAACUACACCCAAUCUAUAAGUUUCGCUGGUUUCAAAUUUCUCUUUAGAAACGAUCACGUCACGUGGCAUGUGCGAAAAUAUUCAAGACGAAUUAGACCUGAAAAAUGUCCAUGAACACAUCUUACAAGUUUAUGUGUGCACAAAGUCUUUUUGGUGUAGGCCUCCUCAACGUCUUGGUUCUGUUACAGGAAUCGUCAUGGAUACGAUGACGAAUUGUUACUAAAUUAGAAGCAGGCAUAUUACUCAUUGUAGGUAAAAUGAUAAUUCGUCUAGGCCCGUUUUUCGCAACAACUGGAAAUGCGCCAUCAGGGAGGUGACUUUAAUGUCAUGUCAUGUAUCUGGAAACGUACCUUCAAGAGCAUGCGGUGUUUGUAGUGCGCGCCUCUCGUACCGUCGCACCUUGAUACAGUUAUUAGCAAGACAGACACCCACACACUGGGUUGGACAUCCUGGACUUAACGAGAUCCACCUACUUCAACCGCUGACGUUUGCAGAGCUACCAUGGGUCGCCUCGAGGAGGCCGGGACCAUCGCCCUGUGAGUGAAAUUUCUGGUAUUCCACGUGAAGAAAAAAAAUAAUAAAGAAGUCAGCAAGAAAUGACCCUUCACAGUGUGUCAGCUGCCGCUGGGACAGCAUCCAAGUGGACAACUGACCAACAAUAACAAGCCAAUUCGCCUCGCCUCAUCAAUCAGGGACAACCAGGCCACACCGAAAGCAUAUCAGUCUUGCUGGUCUCGUCACACUAAAGUUUCAACAAAACACAAGCAUGGACUGAAGAAUGUCUUAUUGGAGAGCAGUUUGGAUCUUGGAACAGAGUUUCGCUGUAAUACGACAAUUUGGCAACUUUUAAUACUUUCAAGUGAAGUGUGUUUGAUGUCGCACAAACUGAGAUGACCCGGUCGUACAUUUAGUGAUUGACAUUCAAAAACGGCGGCUGUUAGUUAGUAUUGUACAAUAAUGGUAAUGAAAAUAAAAGGGUGUAUAGAAAAAUGAA